AUAAUGGGUCAGCGACUUAUAUUCUGUAGCAAGGUUAACCGAAUAGGGGAGCCGAAGGGAAACCGAGUCUUAACUGGGCGUUAAGUUGCAGGGUAUAGACCCGAAACCCGGUGAUCUAGCCAUGGGCAGGUUGAAGGUUGGGUAACACUAACUGGAGGACCGAACCGACUAAUGUUGAAAAAUUAGCGGAUGACUUGUGGCUGGGGGUGAAAGGCCAAUCAAACCGGGAGAUAGCUGGUUCUCCCCGAAAGCUAUUUAGGUAGCGCCUCGUGAAUUCAUCUCCGGGGGUAGAGCACUGUUUCGGCAAGGGGGUCAUCCCGACUUACCAACCCGAUGCAAACUGCGAAUACCGGAGAAUGUUAUCACGGGAGACACACGGCGGGUGCUAACGUCCGUCGUGAAGAGGGAAACAACCCAGACCGCCAGCUAAGGUCCCAAAGUCAUGGUUAAGUGGGAAACGAUGUGGGAAGGCCCAGACAGCCAGGAUGUUGGCUUAGAAGCAGCCAUCAUUUAAAGAAAGCGUAAUAGCUCACUGGUCGAGUCGGCCUGCGCGGAAGAUGUAACGGGGCUAAACCAUGCACCGAAGCUGCGGCAGCGACGCUGAUGCGUUGUUGGGUAGGGGAGCGUUCUGUAAGCCUGUGAAGGUGUGCUGUG
rnacentral:rRNA from 1 species